CGUGGUGACCGAGCUUGGUUUGUUCGGUUUGAAUCCCAAAGGAUACUUCUUCGUAAAAACUUCAUAUUGGUUAUUUUUACGAAAAUUACAUCUCCUCUUUUACUAUCUCUUUUGGAAAUACGAUCUCCGAGGAUUUUCGGGUGGUAAUUCCGUGGUAACCGUUUUUGACCCCAACAGGGAUGGUUGGAACCGUCAGUACGUGUUCGUUAAGAUUCAUGAGCCUGUGGGUUACCUUACGUCUUGGCGUACCGUGGGUGAGCUUUUCUUCUAAGUUUUGAAUUUUACCAUACUUUUGGGGACCUGAUUGUUGGGGUCAAAAACGGUUGCGACGAAGUUAACAUUCAAAACGUCAAAAGAAGAAAGUAAGAAUUGUUCUACGACAAAUACUUUUUCGGAAAAGAUUUGUUCUUACGAAGAGCUUUGCGGAAGAAACACGAGACAUCGGAGAAAAGCCCGAAUAAGGUCGCACGCUCUUCCGAAACAUCGAUACGAUGCGAAUCCGUGCACUCUCGUCUACCCUUUGAUGCUAUCUCCCGAAGAUCGUUGCAAACCCAUUUCGUGUUUUCCGUCAUUGGAAGUCAUCAAUCAAACUUUACGAUAAAAACCGCUAAAAGUUUGUUUUAUUGAAAAAAGUCGUAAUUAACGCUUUAAGUCAAAAGAUGGCCCAAACGGAUUUAAGACAUGACUCGAAGCCCAUUUUACGAUUUCUUAACCAGCAGCCCGUAUACCGUAGGACGGUUUACGCUUGGUUCGCAAGGAAAGAUAAAUGUCAAAUUUCCGCGGAUAAAUACAAAAUUUUGAAGAUAAUUACAAAGAUCGGGAAAAUGGAAUAUCUCCAUUUUUAGGCUAUGACGGCUUAAGGGCAGAAGGGGAAAAGCGUAAACCAACCUAAGAGCGAGUAUAUAAGGAGUCCAAGGAGAGAGGCAUGGGGGGAGAACUUUUUGGACAGAAAACUUAGUACUUAGAGCAAUUAGGCAACUUUCUGUUUUUGUUAUUUCGAGCUGCGAAUCAAUUAGGUUUAGCAUUCUUAGGGUUACUAGAACUAGGAAUCUUGCCGACAGCUCUCGAGCCCAGGCUUAUACCUUGUUGUAAACGCUCAUACGCAAAUUCGGAAUAAGACUUCUCUUUGCUCUCUUUUUACGAUUUUUAUACUUUGUCGUUGUUAUCUCGUGUUCUGAUUGCUUAGCGUUUGGUAUUAGCAGAUAUCCGGGACCUCUGGGAAAUUAGUGUUCUCCUAAUUUCCUAAUUUAAACAGAAAUUGACAGUGCAAAUUUCGGUUCCCACAGUUUGGCGCUAGAAGAAGGGGGGGGUACGGAUCAAUCUAACCCGCAAAAGCCACUCAAUGAUCAGGAAAGAUAUGCAAGACUCGACGUGCGUGAACGUCAUCUCGUUCAAGGGGGGAGAAACGGUCGAUCAUGCCAAACCUUGUAACGACCUCCUUGUUAUCGAGCUAACGAUUCGAGAUAUCGAUGUCGCUAGGGUGCUAAUCGACACCGGAAAUUCGGUUGAUAUCAUCUUCAAAGAUACUCUCGAAAAAAUGGAGAUCGAUCAGUCCAAAAUCGUAAAACAUCCUAGCCCACUGUUGGGACUAUCAGGAGAAACCACCAUUGCCUACGGAUCGAUUAAUCUCGCAGUCAAAGCUGGGACCGUGACAAGAGUCACAGAGUUUCUAGUCGUUGACCGUCCCGCAUCUUACAACGUUAUCAUGGGAACGCCACAAUCCCCUCAACGUACCACCUUUGCCUCAAAUUCCCAACCUCAAACGGAAUCGAGGUAAUAUGGGAAAAUCCAAGAGUAUCGCAGGUGUGUUUCGCCGCAGAACAAAAACGAAAAAUACCAGACCUUGAAACCACUCCUAGAAAAGUGGAGAAAAAGGUCUCUGACAAAAAUUCGCGAAGUCAAGAUCUAUAGUGUGUUGGCUAACCAGCAAACGACACACAAAGAUGAUUGGCUGACCACCAAAUCAACAAGCCGGUUCAAACCGAUGAACUAGCUAAAAACUCUCCCUCUCACUCAGAGAAAAGAAGAAUAGAAAAUAAACAACAAAAAAACUGAAACUGCUUUUAUUCAUCAAAGGGACUACAUAUUUAUAGUGUUUUGUAGUCAAAGACAAUUAAAGAAAAUGUGGGAAAACAAUGCAUACAAAAUACAAAUUUGACUAGAUCUAGUCAAAGCACGGAAAUUGGAGAAGACUAUAUCUGGUCAAGGCACGGAAAAUGGAGAAGACUAGAUCUGGUAAAGGCACGGAAAAUGGAGGAGACUAGAGCACGCGUACUGCUCGGUCGCUACGUAGACACCAAGCUCGGAACCAAGCUUGGUCACUACGUAGUGACCGAGCACAUGCACGUUUCGAUCAUUACGAAGCGUUCGAGCUUUCUCAAAACGUCAAUACGACGCGAAUCCAUGCAUUCUCGUCUACUCUUUUAUGCUAUCUCCCGAAGACCAUAGCUGAACAAUUUCAUGUUUCUCGUCACUCGAAGUCAUCGAUCAUACUUUACGGUAAAAACCGCAGAAAGUUUGUUUUUAUCAAUGAAACCGUAAUAAACGAUUCGAGUCAAAAGACGGCCCAGAGAGACCUAAGACGCGACUCGAAGCCCACUUACGAUUUCUUAACCUAUAGCCCGUAAGCCGUAUGAAGCUUUAUGUUUGGUUCACAAGGAAAGAUAAAUGUCAAGUUUCCCCGGAUAAAUAUGAAGUUUUCGAAUAUAAUUACAAAGAUCGGGAAAAAUAGAAUAUCUCCAUUUUUAAACUAUGACGGCUUAAGGGCAGAAGAGGAAAAGCGUAAACCGACCUAGGAGCGAGUAUAUAAGGAGUCCUAGGCGAGAGGCAGGAGGGAGACUUUGACACAGCAAACUUAGCACCUUGGAGCAAUUUUAGGCAAUUUUCCGUUUUUGUUAUUCGAGCUGCGACUCAAUUAGGUUUUUGCCGUCUUAUGGGUUUUAGAACUAGGAAUCUCGCCGACAAUUCUCAUUGCCCAGGCACUUACCUUGUCGUAAACGCUCGAACGCAGAUUCGAAAUAAGACAUAGCCAGAAUUCAGAACGCGACUGACACUGCUCGACCUCCAUCAAUCGACAGACGCCAACCACAAUCGAUCGACAGCAGUCGACCCCCAUCGAUCGGCAUACACCAUCACACAUUGAUCGAUAACCGCAUGAGAGCAUCGAUCAUUACCAAUCCGCCACGCCCACAUACGAAGAAGUCUCAACCAGAUUUCCACACCAUAGAAGAGAUAGAUCAGCUGGUAGAAGGGAUCUAUAGAGCUCUGGAAACCAUAGAGGGGAGGCUUGAUGGGGUGAUGUGAUGACAUCUAUUUCCCAAUGGAUCUUAGAAUUAGUGCUUUGACCUCCAAGGUUGAAGCUAUACAAGGGGAGUUGGUGGAGAUCCAGAGUUACAUUGCCUGUCGACCAGAAGCAGCGCUAUCGAUCGACAGAUGCACCAACAAAUCGAUCGACAUUCACAAUCAAACAUCGAUCGACAGUGAUAAAAACUGAGGCCGGCUAGUACCAAGGAUGACAUCGGACAUGUCCAACACACCUUACCAUAGAGAGGAGAUCUCAGCUGACACUUACGCCACACUUACCAGACAUCAGUCCACCUUCAGAGUCUUGGUGAAAGAUUGGAGAAGAUUGAAUUUACAACAGCAGCAAUGAAAGAUAAAUGGCGCAAAGGGGAUGAAGCAAUGAGAGACUUCACUGGUACAUGGUUCAACAAGUGUAAAGAAGAGAUGGAUACUUUUUUUCCAGCAAGUCCCAGCUCUCAACAUUACUAGCCAAAACACCUCCAAAGUCAAGCUAAAUGACUAUAACAAAGCAUUGAGUGGGAGGCAACCCACUAUUAGGUAAUAUUUCUUAUGUUUUUAAUAUACUAUUUAUGUUGGUUUUUAAUUAUUGCACGUCAUAUAAAAAAAAAGAGAGAAGAUACGAGGAGACGAUUGCCAUCUCAAUCGACCGACGUGAACCUAUCGACAUCACUUUACCUGCAUCGACCGAUAACAACAUCCUUACAUCAGUCGACAUUCAUUCCGGUAUGGUAUAUCGUUUUUAGUUGAUACAUUGAGUCCUUAUGAUUAAUUUCUAACCAUAGUUCCGACUGAAUUUACACUAGGGACAGUGUAGUUUAUUAUUGAUAUUUAUUUACUUAUUAGUCUUAUUAAAAUGUUUUCAAAUUAAGUUAUUAUUGAGUCAAGAAGGGGAUUACGAACUUUAAGAUUUUGCUAGAUAUCUAACCACUCUUUAGCAUCAUUCUAGACUUACUGAUUGCAGAUAGUACUAAAGAUACUAAAGUGGAUCAACCUGUCAACUAUCCACUCUUGCUAAGAUUGUUUUGAAGGAACCAAAACGGACCUCCAACAGUAAAAUUGACACAACUGCUUUUCUUGGGGCUUGGUAUGCAUGGGAUCGGAUUCUUCAAACAAGUUUGGAAGGUAAAGCCUUGUGUAUAUAGAUUUAUCACCCUUUCUCUCUCUAUUUUUGAAAUAUAGAUAAAAAAAGAAAAAAAAAUUAUUAUAUAUUUAUUAUUAUAAUAGAGAUUUAUUAGGAAGGAAUUCGAACAAGUCUGACUUGGUGGCUACAACCAUUAAGGCUUGCUUCAUAAGAAUUUCAUAGGUAAAAGAUUAGAACAUCAAUUGGUGGUUACAACCAUUAAGGCUUCCUUCACAAAUAAUCCUAGGAUAUAUGUCAAAAAGAAGUGAACAGGACUUGGUGGCAACCACCAUUAAGGCUUGAUUCAUGGAAGCAUGUCCAAUCUUGGUCAAUGAUUUUGCAUAUAAGCAGAUUUUGACCAAGAGAGAAGAUAGGAACUAAUGUUUACCUGUAGGUCCAGACAAUUGUUUGAGAAUCCUUGCAUCAUGUGAUCGAUACUCCCACGGUAAAGUCUUCACUUUUACUUUAUGCUAAGAAGUGAGGUUGGUAGAGGGGAAUGAAAGAAAAGAUUUGCUAAGUUGUUGGCUAGAUGAAUUUGGUUGCUAAGCUAGGAUCUUGUAUAAGGUGGUUUUGUGAUUAGGAUUUCUUAGAUGUGGAUUGCAAUAUUGUAGAGGUGAUGAUUCUAAGUUUUAAAUCAUGUGAGUCUCUGCUGUUUUAAAACCUCUUUCAGAGAGACUGCCUAGUUUAUAGGCGGUUUUAUCAAAGGGUAAGUUUGGGGGAGUCGAUAGACUAUGGAUUUAACUCAUUUUCAUCCAUAGUUUAUAGGCGGUUUUAUUAAUAAUUAUUAUAUUAUAGUCUAUUUAUUAUAUUUAUAAGAACAUGAGUGUUUUGGAGAUAAGUGACGAUUUUGGAGCAUUUUGGAGAUAUUUGGAGCAAGCAUCCGAGAUGACUAUCGAGAAUCGACAAUCGUUCGAUAUUGGAGAGGAAUAAUCGAUCGAUACCGCAUGACUUGGUAUCGAUCGACAAUGAAGCGUGCAGAAAACCCGUUUGGUCACGUCGGACUUGAAGCCCAAGACUUCACCAUUUUACAAGAUUACCCCUGACGAGUUUUGCCCUAAUUGUAUGAGUUUUGCCGCCAUGUUAGAGGCAAAGUGUGCUUUCAUUGUUUUACUAUUUUCACAUCAAAGUUUUUUAGGAUUUUUAUAAUUUCGAGAGAAGAUCCAAAGUUAUAAUUUGUGAUUGGAACUCCAUUGAUAUCUAUUUACUAUUCUAAUGAAGUUUUUAUACUUAACCGCAUUUAUGAAUUGCUUAGCCAUGUAUGAGUAGUUCCAUUGUUAGAUUUAGGGUUUAAAUAGGUUAGGAGGAAUUAUCCCCAACUAUAGAUUGCUGUGUUGUGAUAUUCAUCUUUAGGAUUGUUCAUUAAUGCAUGUAUCUAGUUUAGCUACCUAGAACAUGCCCUUGGAUUGAUUGAUAAACGCGAAAGCUUUAUUCUCAUCAUGAAAACAGUCUAAUAGAACUAUGUUUCUUGCUAUGAGCAAGGCGAGAGCUGAUCUAGUAAGCUCAGUCAACAUUCAUUCAACCUGCGCAUAAAAUUUGACUAGAGCGCGUCGAUCGAUAUCAAACUUGAAUAAUCGAUCAACGGUGCAAAAGGUGUAUCGAUCGAUAUCCCAGUAGAUCAAUCGAUCGACUCUUUCCAUUGAUCAAUAUAACGAGAGUUGAGAUUAUAGAUGUAGUUAAUAGACAAGUCAAUACAUGCGAAAGCUGAUUGACUAGUUGAUCAAAGUAGUUGAGCUUUACAUUAUCAUGCAUGCAACUCAUUAGGCAUCUAUAGGAUUAUAAUCUCAAAUUUCCUGAAUAAAAACCCAAGUCGAACUAUUUCCUUUUUAAGCACCAAAAUCCCAAACCUGAUAUUAAACAAACACUUGUUCAAUAUAAAACUGCAAUUUAUAUUUAAAACUCUAAAAACAAUCUUACUUAACAAAUCAUAUUAGAAAUCCUUAGGUUCCCUAGCUCCCUGUGAAUUUGAUCCCUAAGUACUACAGUCCUUAGGGCAAUUUGAGUGGUAUCACUACAAUGAGGGAGAUAACCAGGGCGUCGUGGUGAGGAGUGAGGACUUUCUCGUGCUCCUUGGCUGUGAAACUUAUUUCGUCCGUCCCUAGGAGCAGGCAUUUUGGCUUGGCUGCUUCUAGGCUGUGCUUGGCGUUCUAGGUGCUUUUCUUCGCGGCUUCAUGACUUAUGCCGUUGACUUCCGAACCGCCCUAGAUGACAUAGAUCACUCGGUCCUGUCGCAGUGGCGAGAUGGGAGCAGCUUCAGUGGGCUUACGCGUUGUAUCCCUACUGAUAUCUCUGCUUUCAAGAGAGGCAUGCUCCUCGACAGAGACCUCUACAAGGAGCUGACCAAAUAUCAGUGCAAAACCAUGGAAGACUUCCUAUCUCGAGCCUGGCCGCAGGUAAAAUGGGAAGACGUCGCCAGUCGUGCUAAAACGCAAAAAAAGCAAGAUCCCAAGACGAUCAGACCAGACCAAACUGAGCAAGACGAGAAAUCCUCUCAAAUACCAGCUAGGGACUCCGGAAAUCAAAACCGGGCAGGUACUUGAACCGGCCGAUCGAGAAGGCAAAAGGGAUGGCAGUGUCCAUGUGGGCAAACAUCUCUCACCUCUCCGUCUCAAGGCCGGAGCUGGUCUGAUGGGCCAGCAGGUUAAGUGGCCUCAGAAGAUGAAAGCCCCCGACUCUUUCCGGAACCCUAGUUUCUGGUGCGACUCCCACCGAUACCACGGUCACAAAACGGAGGACUGCGUCACACUAAAGA